AUUUUUGCUUUCUUUUCUUUUGUUUUGUUUUUUGAGGUACCGGGGAUCGAACUCAGGACCUUGCGCUUGUGAGGCAGGCGUGGUGCCCACUGAGCUCCAUCCCGGCCCUCCCUAAGAUCGCUCCUUCGUCUCCGCUUGUCCUUCUGUGUUGUCUUCCAUUUCAAAGUCCUUUCUUGGUCACCACGAUCGCCGGAGGCCAGAUGCUCCAGGAGAAAAGCAGAAGUGCCUAGGAGGCCCCUGGCUGUUACUGGUGCUCCCUAAGAAGCCUCCUCGAAGUCCCUACCAGCCCACUCUGCGUGUGCCCCGGUGGCAAGAUCUUCAUCACAAGCUACACCAAGGCGCCGGCCGUAAUCUGACUGAGCCUGCCUUUCCUCCUUGAGCAGAAGAUGAUCUGCAAUCCUCAGUGUUGUUACGAGGGUCAGAUGAGGUCAUGUGUGUGUGCACGCCCCAGGUUCUGCUUAGCAAAUAGCCAAAAGUUGAUUCCUUUCUGAUAGAAUUCUCCACCGGACAGAGUGGCCCCAAUGGUCCUACAUUCUACAAGGGCUCCGUGGUUCCUACUUGGGAUGGGGGUGAACGCUGUGCUCUCUGGAGAAGCAAAACCUAACUAGCUGCUCUAUCCUGCUUACCCACGUGAUCGUCCCCAUCCAAUCACCCUGCGACCCAUUGCUCCGCUCUCACUAUACCUCCCCACCGCACCGCCCUAUAUAAGCUGUACCCGGUUGGUCUUUCCCUCUCUCGUCGCUGUUCGGGGC
rnacentral:lncRNA from 1 species